GCUGCAGAUUGGAAUCACCCAAGGACUUUUAAAGAGAACACCUACGCCGUGCUCUCCUGCUGCGGGUCUAAUUUCCUUGGUGUAGGACAGAUCUGAGUAGUUUAAAGUUCCCCAGGUGAUUCUAAUGUACGGCCAGGGCUGAGAACCACUGGUCUCCACUCUAACUGAAUGCCAACUGUGGAGCCUUAGUUUACAGGGUACUGACACAUGUCGCUCUAGCCAGCCGUCAGUACCUCACUGGCCUCCUCGACUUUUCACAAAGAAUAGUAAUAGUUCACAAAGUUUGAAAAAAGAAUGGGUUUGCUUUUAGCAUCCAUUUUGUUGUAGGAUCUUUUGUUCUACUGACACGGACAGCCUGAUUCUGAGUGUGCAAAGCUGUGGCUUUCCCUCCUAUGGACGCCUUCUGAACAGCAGAUCUGACUUCCUCCUCAAACCAAGGCAUCCUGAAAACAUCCAAGCAGAGGAAGCAUUUUUUCAUCAUGACAUGGGAAAGGGCCACAGAGAUCCAAAUGGAAACGGACAUUUCAUGUGAGUGACUGUUUCUACCCCAGCUUGGCUUCUUGCCUAAUUCAACAGACACUUAGGUGGCUGAAGAGGGAAAUUUUUGUUAAAGCGAAUCCAGCUCUGAGUUGGACACAGAGCCUUUUGACUGGUGGCCCAGUUCCUUGUGCUAGCUGGCAAAAUUAACAAAUUUUUCUUUUAGUUGUUAUUUUUGGGUUUUGAAUAUACUUCAUUUCCUGGCAACAGU
rnacentral:lncRNA from 1 species